GGAAGAGGCAAAGGAAGGCAUCACAAUGCUCUUUUAUUAGCUGGGACUUUGACUUCAAACCUCAAUGUAGAAUUGCACCAUUUAGGCUGGUCUCACUGGACGGCUGAUUUGCUUUCCAGAGAUGAAAGCCUAAAUCAGUUAAUCUAUUUUCCUUUAUCUCAUGCAAGUCUUGGUUCUUACAUUGAUGGCAAAGAAAAGAAGAUACAAAGGAAAAGGAGUGAGAGAGGUGAAAAAUUAGAGAAUGUUUGAAUCCUCAGGUCUGUUCAGGCAAUGUGGAAAGAGAAAAGGUGAUCAAAGGGAAACACCAUGUUCAAGAUGAUGUUUAAGAUAGCUGAGAUGCUUCCAUUUCUUCUUCUACCCUUGCUUCUGGAUCUGAAGAAUUGUGUGACCUAAUUUGAACCUAAUCCUGUCUACGGAAUCCCUUGGCUAAUAAUUAGGGAUGGUUUGAAUUCAAUUGGGCUAUCGAGUCAACUAAAUGCAGAAGUUAGAACCCAUUAUUUUGAAAGAUACUGCCAUUUAUAACUUCUAGCCACAGAAUUCUACAACAGGUUUUGUUCAUUAGCGUAAUUAUCCAAGGUGAUUCAAAGUCAUUUCCACUAUAGUCAUUCCUGAGCCAUCUUGAGAGGGCGAUCACUGCGGCAGAGGAAUCCAAAGAAACUGACCCUUACCUUGAAGUGAAAACCUGAGGAUGCGAAUCCACGUCUCUGGGGUCGAAAAGGUCACAAACAGAAAACCUGCUGCACUUCUGAGUCUUCACAGAUUUCAGUGAUUUGGUCCAAAUCCAGAAACCAUCUUGAGACAAUAAAAAGGCUGCUGAAUGGGAACCAAGCAGGACGGCUCAACUCUCACCGAGGAAUGAACUGACCCAGGCAAAUAACAUUGCAGUCCACUUAAAUUUCUUGUUUACGUCGAUUGGAAACUAAUUUAAACAGAACACUCAAAGUUGGUGCCGAUCAGCCAUCUCCUAUCAAGUUUGUGUAUCAUGCUGCAGGCCGUUAUUAUGCUAAAUCAAGGAUACGGGGAGAUAAUUAACAUAGCAACUCUGGCAAGUUUAAUAGUUGCCAACAGGUGUCACCACAGGCCCUGAUGUAUCUGCAGUGCUGUCAGAGAGAGAGUCCAUAAACCCUUGGAACAUAUGGAAUGAAAUCCCAACAGCAAAGCUUUUGUGGAAGGCAGUUGCAUGCUGGUUCUCACACACAGUGACAGCUACCAGCGUCCAAAGUGCUGACAUUACGACUUAGAGAUGUGAUAAAGAGCAACAUGUACUGCAUUUUCUAUUGAACAGGUCUUUCCUUUGGAUCCCGUAGCUCUUUGUUCCUCUCCCUGCUACAGGAUGCUGCAUAAAGCAGAAUUGAAUAGCUGCGACAGAGACUGCAAAGCAGAACAGAUUUACUACCCAGCCACUUACAGGAACAACUUGCUCUCUGGCACUGUGGAUAUGCUUGAUGUGUGGAGUCAGACUCCUGAGAUCAAAUUCUGGUUCCCCUCCGAGUCCGGUGAAGUUGCUCAAGCUCUAUGCAGUGUUGUGCUGGAGUCAGCCGGAGCUGACUGUGUGCAUCUUUCACCAACUCCACCUUCAUGGAUCAUGUUAGAAGCUCAAAAUCAACAUUGGAAGGAAUAUUUACACCAGGAAAACUGGCAAAUGCUACACAUCAGGACUUCCCUAGAGACGUGGCAAUUAAAGAUUUGCUGCCUUCAUAGAUGUUAGAUUUGUCUUCUUCAAAAUGAUGUGAUAGAUGCCGUUCGUGCCUCAUUCCAUGUCAUCUUUAACCACCACUGCAUCCAGCACCAGCUGCUGCAGCUCACAGCUUCUACUUGUGGCCUCCUCAGGGGCAGUCAAUGUCUUGUUGGUAUAGGGGGUCUGAAGUCUGGCUCCCGUGCACCAUUCUGUGGUGCAAUUUGUGCUCCAGAACGCCACUCCUGCCAUGGAUGAGACCACGGCUAGACUAUGCCUGGGACCACAUUCUCCUUCGACUCUUUUGCCAUCACUAUCCUGCUUCACUGCUUUCAUUACAGUAGAUGCCGUUACUGUCUCCAUUUCUCAGAUGUGGAAACUGAAGCAAAGAAGUCAAUAACUUGCUCAAGAUCUCAUUGGCUGUCAACUGUUGGAGCUAAGAUUCAAUAUAGCCAGUUUGGCUCCAGAGUCUGUGUGUUUAGUCAUUAACUCUUGGUUUGUAAAGCAGCUGGCCGGGUGAGCACCCAGUAAAGGAGCUGAAGUAAUCCUCAUUGCCAUCUCCUUGGCUAUCGGCAAGUCCAGGACCCUGAAGGCCUUUGCUGAUCUCUGGAACUACUCAGGGACACAAGACUUACUGGAAGAAGAAGCAUUUGCUUUUACUAAAGAGCUCAGGAUUAUGAUUAUUUGCCAGAAUUGGUGUCUUGAAAGGCUUUUAUUGUUUGCCAUUUGGUUUUCAUUCCGAAGCCACAUGCGACUGUAACAUAAACACUUGUGGAGGGAUAUCAUUACUCUGAAGCUUAAAGUUUACAUGUCAGCUCCCUGUCUUACAGCAAAUGCUGCAGGUCAUUUCUCUUCCUGUGUGAGCCAAGAUGAGAACUCUGGAAAGACAUUCUCAUCCACAGAUUUUACAUCACCUACAGCCGUGACCUUAGCAACUGAGGGAAGAGCUGAAGCUGUCUUGCCCCACCUGCUCCCACCUUAUAGUCACCAAAUAUUGCCAUUCCCCUGCCUCCAAAGACAGGACCAGGACCUUCAAUCAAGAGCUGUCCUCCCGUGACUGCUAGGUUUCCUUGGCUGCUGCUUGGUGUUCAGGGUGUCACAGAAUAAAUCUGCUUCAGUGCAAUGGAGACAAAUACUCUUCUUGCUGCCUUCUUUCUCAAAACCUUUCCCUG
ensembl:lncRNA